UACGUAGGGGGCAAGCGUUGUCCGGAAUCAUUGGGCGUAAAGAGCGUGUAGGCGGCCAGAAAAGUCCGCUGUGAAAACUCGAGGCUCAACUUCGAGCUGUCGGUGGAAACUUUCUGGCUAGAGUCCGGAGGAGGAGAAUGGAAUUCCUGGUGUAGCGGUGAAAUGCGCAGAUAUCAGGAAGAACACCCGUGGCGAAGGCGGUUCUCUGGGACGGUACUGACGCUGAGACGCGAAAGCGUGGGGAGCGAACAGG
rnacentral:rRNA from 1 species